rnacentral:rRNA from 1 species
CAGCGCCACAAGUGGUCAGGAUGAUUAUUGGGCCUAAAGCAUCCGUAGCCGGCGCUGUAAGUUUUCGGUUAAAUCUGUACGCUCAACGUACAGGCUGCCGGGAAUACUGCAGCGCUAGGGAGUGGGAGAGGUAGACGGUACUCGAUAGGAAGGGGUAAAAUCCUUUGAUCUAUUGAUGACCACCUGUGGCGAAGGCGGUCUACCAGAACACGUCCGACGGUGAGGGAUGAAAGCUGGGGGAGCAAACCGGAUUAGAGACCCGAGUAGUCC